GUCAACGAUCAUUCUAUGUUGCAAAGCACCAGUUCUCGUCCGAUCACUGAAGUUAAACAGCAUUGGGCGCGGAUAGUACUUAGAUGGGUGACCGCUUGGGAACUCCGCGUAUCGUUGACA